AUUGAACGCUGGCGGCAGGCCUAACACAUGCAAGUCGAGCGAACCUAGCUUGCUAGGUGAGCGGCGAACGGGUGAGUAACACGUAGGAAUCUGCCCGAUAGUGGGGGACAACGUCUCGAAAGGGACGCUAAUACCGCAUACGCCCUACGGGGGAAAGCAGGGGAUCUUCGGACCUUGCGCUAUCGGAUGAGCCUGCGUCGGAUUAGCUAGUUGGUGGGGUAAAGGCCUACCAAGGCGACGAUCCGUAGCUGGUCUGAGAGGAUGAUCAGCCACACCGGAACUGAGACACGGUCCGGACUCCUACGGGAGGCAGCAGUGGGGAAUAUUGGACAAUGGGGGCAACCCUGAUCCAGCCAUGCCGCGUGUGUGAAGAAGGCCUUCGGGUUGUAAAGCACUUUAAGCUGGGAGGAAGGUUUCUUGGCUAAUAUCCAAGAGAAUUGACGUUACCAGCAGAAUAAGCACCGGCUAACUCCGUGCCAGCAGCCGCCGUAACAC
rnacentral:rRNA from 1 species